UAAAUCAUUGUCGCCAGCGCCACCAUUUGGUACUACAUUUCUAACAGAGUUUCGCCUUACUUUUGGAGGCGAAAUCAGGCUUAGUUCAGUCUCCUGGUUCUAGUACUUCUAGUCUUCAUACUUGAACCACUUGACAGGGAGACCGAUUAGACCGACCAGAGCCACAGCCACUGGAGAAGAUACUUUACCUGUGACGAACGGAAGAGUGAGAUUUUGUGUGUUCAUUGUGUCUCGUGGUAAAAUCUCGUGCGCGAUGCAGAGAGAGGAGAAGCAACUAGACUCCGCCUUGGAGGCCAUAAUAAUGCGAGUGAACGACUUGAAGAACGCGAUCGCCGCGAUGAUAUUCAAGAUAGAACACGAGUACGAAACCUUGAAUUGGCCGAAUUUUCUCGACAAUUUCGCCCUUAUCUCUGGUCACCUAACGAGCCUCUCAAAGAUUCUGGGACACGACAAAGCGCCGAAUCUUCGGAAUCUGACAGUUCUACCGUUACGCCUGAGUCCGGAAAAGGACGAGGAACUGUUGCGACUUACCGAGAAUCGUAUCCCUACGUUUGCACAUGACCUGGUCCCAGAUUACCUGAGGACAAAACUGGAGCCUCAAGCUGAACAGAAGAUGAUGCAGUUGGAAGCCAAGGCUGCGUCUGUCAGCAUUGAUGCCUCACACGACUACAAUAAACAAGUGGCGCAGUACACAAAGGUAAUUAGCCACGUGUGGGACAUAGCAAACAAGGCGCGCGAAGAUUGGGAAGGCGAGGUCAGCACCAGGGCGACACAAGCGCAAACUAGUAGCGUUGCUGAUACUAAUGCCCUUUUAGCUGCUGUUGGGAUUGGUAAAGGUUUAAUGAAAUCCGAUUCGAUACAAAUGGUUCAAUCCGGCGUAAAUCCAGUAGCUAACAGCAUGAUGGUAGGCAGACCUGGCAAUCAGCAGCAAACGGCGGGACAAGGGCCUUUGGGUAAUCCACCGAUGGGACAAAUGAAUAAGGCACCAAGUGCAAUAAAAACGAAUAUCAAAGCGGCGUCGCAAAUCCAUCCUUAUAGAUAAGAUCGUAGCAUCUCUGUUAUUUACAAGUAGUGUACAAUGACUGAUAACUUAAAUAUUGCAUUUAUAAGACACGAUUGCGUAUGAACGAGGAGAAACACACUUAUUCAUUACAGGUACAAUGAUAGCCUUUAAAUCUUGUUCGUGUAACCAGCAUAAUCUAUCCUGUAGAAUCAGUGAUUCUGCUGGCAAUUGUAAUAUCAUUUGCAAUCCAGUAUAAAUUUCUACAGCUUUUAAUCUUA